ACAAACUGUGAUUUUUGCUCAUACCCAAUAGCACCCCACACAAUAAGGCCUAGAGCUGGCACUGUACGUCUUGUGCAAAUGCAGUCACUGUGAUGGCCCUCCAUAUGUCUGCAGUGAACCAAAAUGCAGCCAUCAUUUUCAGACAAGCAUAACUUGGACUCGUCUGAAAACACUAUCUGAUGCCAUUCCAGUAUCCAACAAUGUUCAAUAAUACAUCAUUGCCGUCUAGCACAUUUUUGAACAUUCAUCAAAGCAGAGAUGAGGAGGAUGCAGAUCUGUCCUGCAAUGGCAUUUGAAUGAGGUGCCAAUCAUCUUGGAGAGGUGCACACACCUGUUGCACAGCUAAAACACUUUUUCCCAUGCGAGCAGCAGUUUCGUGGAUGGAUGCAUCACAUUAUCACAUUCACUCAUGCCAAGAAUGCGCCCUCUUUUAAACCCAUUCAUUUGAUGAAGCACUGAGAGAACUGUGCAAGGGGCCAAUUGAGAUCUGCCACUGGUUAACAGAGUUUGGAAUGGUGCGACCUUAUUUAUUGGUUGAUGGGAGAGUGCCCUUCAAUGUGGAUAUUGUGAUAAAAUACUAUGGGCAUUCCACGAGCUGUGAAUGUGCACAUCAGGGAAAUGACCAUCUGUUUUUCUUAAUGUUUUUUGUUAGCCACCAGUUGAUGCCAUAAGAGCACUGAGCAAGUUUAAUGAUAUAUUUAUGUUGCGAUUUGUGA